GAAUCUUGGGCAAUGGGCGCAAGCCUGACCCAGCCAUGCCGCGUGUGUGAAGAAGGCCCUCGGGUUGUAAAGCACUUUCAGUGGCGAAGAAAAGCGUGGGACCAAUACUCCCACGUCUUGACGUUAGCUACAGAAGAAGCACCGGCUAACUCCGUGCCAGCCGCCGCGGUAAUACGGAGGGUGCGAACGUUAAUCGGAAUUACUGGGCGUAAAGCGCACGUAGGCGGUUCGCUAAGUGGGAUGUGAAAGCCCUGGGCUCAACCUGGGAAUUGCAUUUCAGACUGGCGGACUAGAGUACGGUAGAGGGCGGUGGAAUUCCCUGUGUAGCGGUGAAAUGCGUAGAUAUAGGGAGGAGCAUCAGUGGCGAAGGCGGCCGCCUGGACUGAUACUGACGCUGAGGUGCGAAAGCGUGGGGAGCAAAC
rnacentral:rRNA from 1 species